GGGGACCGCCGGACAGUUCGUGAGGUGUUGGCCCUCUCUAAAGCCAAUUCCCCCAAACUAGUCUUUCUUUCCGAGACUAGACAAGAUGCAAGGAAAGUGAAACUGAAGUGGAGACUUGGCUUGAAAGGUUUCCACGGGAGUAGCGAUGGCAGAAGUGGUGGAUUGGCAUUGUUCUAGGACAAAUCACUUUCUGUAACAAUACUGCAAGCCUGCAAUCGUUUCAUUGAUGUCAGAAUUGUGGAGGUGGGUUCAACUUCUAUAUGGAGGGGGACCUUUGUUUAUGGAGAGCCUAGAGUUGAGAAUAGGCAACGCAUGUGGGAUCACUUAUGUCGCCUUCGAGCUGUAUCAUGCGAUCCAUGGCUGGUUUGUGGUGAUUUCAACGAGGCACUAUGGCAGCAUGAACAUCUAUCUCUGAACCAGCGGUCUGAGAGCCAAAUGGAGGCCUUCAGAGAUUGUCUUAUUACUUGUGAACUUGAGGAUCUUGGCUUCUGUGGGCUACCCUACACCUUCAAUAAUGGUCAAGAUGGUGGUCGCAAUGUCCAGGUCCGCCUUGAUCGGGUGUGUGCUGAUGAAGCUUGGCGGGAUAUCUUUCCUGCGGCAAAGGUGGUGCAUCUAGCCACUUCAUGUUCGGACCAUAGUCCGUUGUUAGUCCAUCUUGAGGGAAUACAGGAGCAGCGGCGCCGGGCCCCUGUAUCUCGCUACGAAAUCAUGUGGGAAUGCGACCACGCUUUACCCGGUGUCAUUGCUGCGGCCUGGGCCAAACAUAGACCAGCGGGCAAACUGGGUGCGGUGGCCACGUCCCUGGGUGAGGUCAUGAAAGAGCUCAAACAGUGGAGCAAGGCAAAUUUUGGGAAUGUGUUAAAGGAAAUUGAGACUCUGCGUCAACAGCUCGCUGGCCUCCAGUUAGCUGGUUCGGAUAGAGCACAGAUUCGCUGCAAGAUGCAUCAGCUAGAUGAAUUGCUUUACCGAGAAGAGAUGCUAUGGCUCCAACGCUCGCGCGUAUCUUGGUUGAAGGAGGGGGAGCGAAAUACCAAGUACCUGCAGCGGCGGGCAGUUUGGCGGGCACGAAGGAAUCUUAUCCAUCGCCUUAUGAAGGAGGAUGGCUCGUGGUGUAAUGUGAUAACCCACAAGUGUAGGGGAUAA
rnacentral:rRNA from 1 species